UACGGGGGGGGCAAGCGUUGUUCGGAAUUACUGGGCGUAAAGGGCGCGUAGGCGGCCUUCUAAGUCAGACGUGAAAUCCCAUGGCUCAACCGUGGAACUGCGUUGGAAACUGCAGGGCUUGAGUACCGUAGAGGUAAAGGGAAUUCCCGGUGUAAGGGUGAAAUCUGUAGAUAUCGGGAGGAACACCAGUGGCGAAGGCGCUUUACUGGACGGUUACUGACACUGAGGGACGAAAGCAAGGGGAGCAAACAGG
rnacentral:rRNA from 1 species